UAAAUGGCCGCAGUACCUUGACUGUGCAAAGGUAGCAUAAUCAAUUGGCUUGUAAUUGAAGUCUAGUAUGAAAGAAGUUACGGGUAGCUACUGUCUUAAAAGGAGUUAAGUAAAUUUAGUCAUAAAGUGCAAAUACUUUUAAAUAUAGAAAAGACGAGAAGACCCUAGAAACUUUAAAUUUUUGUUGGGGCGACAAAUCUACAGUGAAACUAGAUUUAAAAAACUUGAAACAAAAGGGGAAAGAUUAAGUUACUUUAGGGAUAACAGCAUAAUGAAAAAUCGUUUGGGACCUCGAUGUUGGACUAGGUUAGAUAGGGUAUAAAAAAACUAUUGUUUGCUCUGU
rnacentral:rRNA from 1 species